rnacentral:lncRNA from 1 species
UUUUACAGUUGUUUGUAGUAAGAGAACUCCCAUUUUCAUCAGUGGAACUGGACAACUACACUGGUCCAAUUCAGGCAAAUGGAUAGAGUUCACAGCACCAAACCAGCAGCCACAGGAAAUUAAUAUAACUGCGAAGGAAAAGAUUUCCCCUGCUCGAGUCUCCCUGCACUCCUACCCAUCUGAGAGAAACAGAACUGUUGAGUAGCUGAUGCAAUUUCAUCCAUAAUAUUGUGGAUUCACCAUUGAUUCAGCAUCUGAUCCUCAGCACUGUAUAUCUAAGAACUCAUUCUCCUUGGUUCAUCAGGCAUGAUCAGAUUAAGGAUUCAUACACACUGACCUAACUCACAGGAGAGAGUUAUAAAUCAGAACACCAAUUUAUUGCCUUGUUCAUGGAAAUAGAAACACUACAUGUGUCAGCUUACUCAGAUCAGCAGCUAAACACUGUUCAGUGUUGAUUGGGAAAUAUAAAGCCAGAAUGAAGGCAGCUGGUUCAUCUUGAUAGCAAAUGUUACCAAAUCUCAUAGUCUGGUGCCCUAAUCUCCAUGGGAUUAGAACAUGUACAUCGACCAGAGAGGUUCUCUUUCUCCUGACUAUGCUGGGACAUUCUGGCAAAUUCUGACUCAUCACUCCCUUUCUAGAAUCCUUAAAGACCAUCAUCACGCU